GACGAACGCUGGCGGCGUGCUUAACACAUGCAAGUCGAACGGAAAGGCCCUGCUUUUGUGGGGUGCUCGAGUGGCGAACGGGUGAGUAACACGUGAGUAACCUGCCCUUGACUUUGGGAUAACUUCAGGAAACUGGGGCUAAUACCGGAUAGGAGCUCCUGCUGCAUGUGGGGGGUUGGAAGGUUUCGGCGGUGGGGGAUGGACUCGCGGCUUAUCGGCUGGUUGGUGGGGUAGUGGCUUACCAAGGCUUUGACGGGUAGCCGGCCUGAGAGGGUGACCGGCCACAUUGGGACUGAGAUACGGCCCAGACUCCUACGGGAGGCAGCAGUGGGGAAUAUUGCACAAUGGGCGGAAGCCUGAUGCAGCAACGCCGCGUGCGGGAUGACGGCCUUCGGGUUGUAAACCGCUUUCACCUGUGACGAAGCGUGAGUGACGGUAAUGGGUAAAGAAGCACCGGCUAACUACGUG
rnacentral:rRNA from 1 species